rnacentral:tRNA from 5 species
CGCGGGGUGGAGCAGUGGUAGCUCGUCGGGCUCAUAACCCGAAGGUCGUUGGUUCGAAUCCAACCCCCGCUACCA